GGGAUUCACUGUGUUCCGUUUCACACAACGACAAGUAAACACGCCCUUCCUCUUCCCUCUCUCCCUCUCUCGGCCUCCCCAGGUGCGUUACCUGAAGAUCAUUGAGAAGAGUGGCUACCAGCCCUGCCCUGGGUCAGGUAUAUCACACAGAACGGAGACUACCAGUUGAGGACUCAGUAGCGACUGGUCUUCAGUUGCAGUUGGAUGGACCAGUCUGCCAUGGAUGGAUGGACAGACGGACUCAGUCGAAAGGAAAGAUGGGUGGAUUGAUGGAUGGAUGGAUGGAUGGGUGGGUGGAUGGGUGAGCCUGGUCCUGGAUGUACCUCUGAAAGAUGAACUGCUAUAACUCCUGUGUCAUGUGAGCAUCAAUUCAUUUGUUGAAACCUCUUGGGUCCGGUGCCAUAUUGUGGUCUUGUAUGGUCGCCGUCAAAUGCAGUGACUAACUGUACGGUAUGCUGAAGAAUAGUCAGAAGUAGGUCAGUUGCAAACUAUUAAUUCCAGUUGUAGAUAAUGAACUCCGCUUAACCGCUCCUGACCUGUUUUAGCAGCAGCCUCUUACAAACAGGUCAGUCAUAGUGCUGAGAGAUGGAAGUGUGUGACCACAUGAAAGAAGGCAAUGUGAAUUUAGAUGUGGCGUAGCUCAUUGGUCUGUCGUUCUGUUUUGCCCCGGCGACAACCUGGUCAUCAGUCGGUUUCGCGGGCCUAACACACAGCAGUGAAACGGUCAGUUAGCACUGUGAAGUGGCUGGUGAAAAGCCACACAGGUCAUUUGUUCAGUUUUUCAUUGCAAAGACACACACGUGUGGAAUGUCAUGAGACGUAUGUAUUUCAUGUUGAUUGUUUUGCAAUGUUGCAUUUUUAACGUCUGUAUUUGAUUUCAUGCAUAUAUCUCUUUGUGCCAGACUUGUGUCAAAUCUUUUCCGAUUGUUUGCUUUCGUCUGACGUAGCCAAAUUGGCACCAUUUGAACAUUGGCCCAUUUGGAAACUGCUUUACAAGUUACACUGCCAAGCGAGUUCAAUCAAGCCUGGCUGAUGCAUUUGAUUGUUUUUUAAUUAGCAUUUGACCCAGGGCAGUCUCCUCUCCUCCCAUUGGUCUGAGGGAGACCAUGUGACCUCCUGCUGAACCAUUUAAUGCAACCGUUAACUAAUACACAUUUGUAACCGAUAUUGUACUCCUGCAGUACUCAAACUCAGUGUUUACCGUAAAACUGGAACUUAGGUCCACAACCAGGACUCAGUCAUAGAGUCACUUAUCUAGCCCACACAAAGAUGAACGCACUGAAGAAACUGUAUUGUCCAGCUUUCCACCACAUAGUUAUCAAACAAAGAGGUGAUUGUCCCUGUCACAGUUCAUUGUCAGUGUCGCAGUGUGGGGCACACGUGUGUCAGUGUCGCAGUGUGGGGCACAGGUGUGUCUGUGUCGCAGUGUUAUUCUGAAUCUGUUGUACGUGAACCAUAUCUGCUGUAUGAAAUCAAACACCAAUUAAAGUCAUUUUAUGAGAACAA